rnacentral:rRNA from 1 species
UACGGAGGAUCCGAGCGUUAUCCAGAUUUAUUGGGUUUAAAGGGUGCGCAGGCGGGGGAUUAAGUCGGCGGUGAAAUUUUGCAGCUCAACUGUAAAAGUGCCUUCGAAACUGGUUUUCUUGAGUGUGGAUGAAGUAGGCGGAAUUUGUGGUGUAGCGGUGAAAUGCAUAGAUAUCACGAGGAACUCCGAUUGCGAAGGCAGCUUACUAAACCAUAACUGACGCUCAGGCACGAAGGCGUGGGGAUCAAACAGGAUUAGAUACCCGGGUAGUCCCU